CAUUGUUAAAGCGGCUUGUAUUAUCUACAUACUUGUACAUACAUAUGUACUUAUGUACGUGCGAUCGAAAACGAUUGGGGUCGCGUGCGGUAACUGGAACAGUCCAGUUUUGCAAUGAGACUGUUCAAAGUGCGGUUAUCCAAGCAAAUAAAGAAUUUUUUAUAAAAUAAACGAGAUAUAUAUAGAAUUUUUUACAGAGUUAUAAGAUUAUCUAACCUUUUCUUGGAUAACAAAGCGUUAAAAUAGAUACCGUAAUUAUAUGACAUAUACGAGGUCGGUUUGCACUAUUGCGCCAGAAAUCUACUACAGUGUAAACGUUUGUUUUUUCGCUUGGUAGUCUGAAAAAUCGGUUGAUAGACACCCUAAGAAAGUCUCUUCAAGUUGAGCGGUAAAGUCCUCCGUCUUACAGUUUUCACAGCCACAUACAGUUGUCCAAAAAAUAAUAGGAGUGCCAAUAUGAAAAAUAUAUUUGGAUGCAUAACUUUUAGGGAUCACAUAUAAAUGACGUGCAGUACACAUAACGCCAGGAGCAUCAGCGAUGAACAUAACAUGUAUAUGGGUAUACCAACUAAAUAAUGACCCUGAACAUAUCAGCAAGUGCACUAAGAAGUGGUGUAGAGUCAAUGGAGUUGAGCAUUCGUUUUGUUAAUGAUGUCACUCCAAUUUUUUUGUGGACAACUAUAAUAAAAAGACAAUGCUUUUCGUAUGUCCGGCCAACUUUAAACACAAUAUCACGGAAAUUUUGUGAAAUAUUAAAAAUUGAAUUCGCAAUUUCGCAAUUACUUUUCGAAAAGAGUGUAUCACAAGAGCUGUAGGAUUCACCACUGAACUCUCAUACUAUUGUGAUUGAUUUUAGUAUUUCUCCUCUACAAUAACAAAUACAGUAACAUUCGAUUCUUACGUGUUGAUUAGACUUUAAACAUUUUGUUACGAUUAGCAAAUAUGAAUGUAUGUAUGUACGUCAUAUCAAACUAAAAAUAGGCUGUUUGUUUACAAACAUUUGGAAAUAUGUACUCUGUGGGAAUACUAAAACAACCUUAUCGACC